rnacentral:tRNA from 1 species
GGGGCGUUAGCUCAGCUGGUCAGAGCAGAGGACUCAUAAUCCUUUGGUCGUUGGUUCAAGUCCAACACGCCCUACCA